GUGGGGAAUCUUGCACAAUGCGCGAAAGCGUGAUGCAGCAACGCCGCGUGCGGGAAGAAGGCCUUAGGGUUGUAAACCGCUUUCAGUUGGGACGAAGCUUCAGUGGUUAAGAGCUGUUUGGAGUGACGGUACCUUCAGAAGAAGCGCCGGCUAACUACGUGCCAGCAGCCGCGGUAAUACGUAGGGCGCGAGCGUUGUCCGGAAUCAUUGGGCGUAAAGCGCGUGUAGGCGGCUGAGUAAGUCUGCUGUGAAAGUCCAGGGCUCAACCCUGGAAUGUCGGCGGAUACUGCUCAGCUGGAGUACGGGAGGGGCGAGUGGAAUUCCUGGUGUAGCGGUGGAAUGCGCAGAUAUCAGGAGGAACACCUAUGGCGAAGGCAGCUCGCUGGAACGUUACUGACGCUGAGACGCGAAAGCGUGGGGAGCAAACAGG
rnacentral:rRNA from 1 species